rnacentral:lncRNA from 1 species
AUAAUUUGUUCUUCAAGUGUGACUUAACUGAUGGAACCAGAGGGAAAAAACUUUCUGGAACUAGACAAUAAGAAUAAAUCAGAUCAAAUAGCAUGCUAUUAUGAAAUGUGAAGCAAAGCAAUAUAUUACAUUUAAUCAUGGAUGUCAAAUUUUCAAAGCAUAUUUACUCUGAAAAAGGAAAAGAAAAAAACCCAUGAGCUUACACACACACUCACAUGCACACACAUACACACACAUGCACACACAUACUCCUAUACACGUGGAUAUUAGGCUGCUUACUUGAGCUGUCUUACAAUUAUUUAUCUUAAAAAGAUAAGCAAGGCAUUUUAGACUUCUGAGAUUUUACUACAUAACUGAGCUGCUUUACUUUAGAUAAGCCCUUCUGCAUUACAAAUAAUAGUUUAAUAUUACAUUAACAGUUAAUUUUGGCUGGGCUCGGUGGCUCACACCUGUAAUCCCAGCACUUUGGGAGGCUGAGGCAGGCUGAUCACCUGAGGUCAGGAGGUCAAGACCAGCCCUACCAACAUGGUUAAACCCAGUCUCUACUAAAAAUAAAAAAAAAAAUUAG